AUUUUUCUCCCCAGGAUGAAUGGAGAAAUAAAUAUGAUGUAUGCAAACUACUAUAUCCACAGCCUUGGCACCACAGUUCUUCAUAAACUCAAAUUCCCAUUCUGCCUUCCAGAGCCAUAAAGAAAGCAAGGAGAAAGUGGAAGAGGCAGAUUCUUUGCUGUUGGACAAGAAGUGAACCAUUAAUGUGUAAGCGAACUGAACACCUACUGGAAUUACACACUCAAACGAUUCCCUUUUCAUCCAUGUGUCUUUUAGUCCAGAAAGCACAACCCAGGAGAAGAGUUCUCAUUAUCUUCCCUUUGGCAUCACCCUGAGGCUAUGCUGGGGAAUGAGAGGAAGCCCUAGGUCAGGGAGAAGGAAGAGGAAAAGCUCAGGAUGACUGGAGGUUCCACUUGAGAAGCUGCACAGAUGCAUAGAUCUCCCUGAGAAUCUGUCCUUAAAGCUUUGUUGCAAUUACAAGGAUGCCUAUAAAAAGAUUAUUUGGAAGUCUUUGGAGUGUCCAUGACCACAAAGCUGAGGCCCAGGCUCAGAAGUAGCAGCUGUGCAAACUGUGAUGUCUAGUACAUACAAGAGGCAGCAGUGGGACCAUCAUCAGAUGAACUCUGUGUUUACUGGACAUCAUUCACAGAAGCCGAGGUACAAACUCAAACCCUCCCCAAAAUACUGCAAUCCAGUCAAGGCUGUGUUGAUAAAUUAUAUGUAUUUGACAUACCAGAGCAGCUUUGAUCGUCAACUGGAAGCCCUGGUUCUAUACAAAUGUCCCACACUGGCUGGCAUUUUCUGUGUUGAGACGUAGUUAUUACUAGUAUGCUACUUAAGAUUAGAUUAUCUGGCUGAGAGCAGUGGUUCACCCCUGUAAUCCCAGCACCUUGGGAGGCCGAGGCAAGAUCACCUGUGGUCAGGAGUUUGAGACCAGCCUGACCAGCAUGGUGAAACCUUGUCUCUGCUAACAGUACAAAAAUUAUCUGGGCAUGGUGGCGCAUGCCUGUAAUCCCAGCUACUUGAGAGGCUGAGGCAGGAGGAUCGCUUGAACCCAGGAGGUGGAGGUUGCAGUAGCUGAGAUUGCACCACUGCACACCAGCCGGGGCGGACGUCAUCUCAAAAAAAAAUCAGAUUAUCUAUCUUUGUAUCUCUGUAUCCAUCUAUUUCUAUACUGAUAUGAACAGAUAGUUAGAUAGAUGUAGAUAUGUAUAUCUUGAUAGAUAAAGAUAUCUAUGCAUGCCUGCAGUCUAUGUCUCUAAAUACAGAUAAAGAUGGAUAGAUCUAAGUAUCCAUCUCAGAGGUGUAUAGAGAAAUAUAAAUAUAUAGAUAUUUACAUUACUCUAAAAAUUGAUAUAAACAGGUAAAUAUUUGUCUAUCUCUAUCUCUGUCUUAUAUUUAGCAAUAUAUGUGAGAUGGUCAAAGUUGUGUCAUCUUGGUUAGGUUAUGGUGCACAGUUUGAUCAAACACAAGUCCAGAUAUUGCUGUAAAGGUAUAUUGUAGAUGUGAUUUACAUUUAUUUAUUUAUUUUUUUUUUAACUUAAAUAUGUACAAUUUUUAUUUAUCAAUCAUACUUCAAUGAAGCUAGAAAGAAAAAUAAGAAAAAAACAUUUGUACAGCAUAAUUAAUUAUGAAACGGAUACAUUUUCUAACAAUUAUGAUAUAUUUUUCUAUGCUUAUUUUAGAAUAUUGUAUUGUCAUUGGGAUUAUUGCCACCAUUUUCUUCUCUGUACCUGUGUUCCUAUCUUUAUCGCAGUGACCAAAUCUCCUCUGAUAACACUUAAUUUUUGCCCAUCUGAAAUUAUAUCUUAAAUUCCAAAAAGUAAAUAUUUUCUGAUUUUUAGGGAAAAAUAAGAAUUUUUUAGAUUUCCUAGGUGACCUCUAGAAAAACUGUGACAAUUUUUGCCUUAUAAAAUGGAUGAGGCUAAAAUAAAUUGGGCUUCUUUGGUAUGCCCCAUAUUUCUUCAUUAGUUCCACACAUCUGUGUGAGUUGCAUGAGGUCAAUUCUAAAAGACUCAGCCUUCUCAGUUCAUUUUACAUAAUCUUACAUAUUAAGAUGAAUGGUGGUGGGGUGCGGUGGCCCACGCCUGUAAUCCCAGCACUUUGGGAGGCUGAGGUGGGCACAUCAGGAGGUCAAGAGAUUGAGACCAUCAUGGCCACCAUGGUGAAACCCCAUCUCUACUAAAAAUACAAAAACUAGCUGGGCGUCGUGGUGCAUGCCUGUAGUCUCAUCUAUUCAGGAGGCUGAGGCAGGAGAAUCACUUGAACCCAGGAGGCAGAGGUUGCAGUGAGCCAAGAUCGCACCACUGCACUCCAGCCUGGUGACACAGGGAUACUCUGUCCAAAAAAAAAAAAAACAGGUGAAUUGUUUAGGAACUGUAGACAUUUAACUCACAGAUUAGAGACUGUAAUAGGAAAUUGGAGAGGUAUAUGCCCCCAGGUGAAACACUGGUCAAGUCUUUAUGAGAUAGUAUUGAACCUAAUGCAGAAUUUUUUUUUUUUUUUA
rnacentral:lncRNA from 10 species